rnacentral:rRNA from 1 species
AAUAUUGGACAAUGGGGGCAACCCUGAUCCAGCCAUGCCGCGUGUGUGAUGAAGGUCUUCGGAUUGUAAAGCACUGUAAGUUGGGAGGAAGGGCUUUAGGCUAAUACCCUGAAGUUUUGACGUUACAAACAGAAAAAGCACCGGCUAACUCUGUGCCAGCAGCCGCGGUAAUACAGAGGGGGCAAGAGUUAAUCGGAAUUACUGGGCGUAAAGCGCGCGUAGGUGGUUCAGUAAGAUGGGUGUGAAAUCCACGGGCUUAACCUGGGAACUGCUUUCAAAACUGCUGGGCUAGAGUACGGUAGAGGGUAGUGGAAUUUCCUGUGUAGCGGUGAAAUGCGUAGAUAUAGGAAGGAACACCAGUGGCGAAGUAGACUACCUGGACUGAUACUGACACUGAGGUGCGAAAGCGUGGGGAGCAAACA